rnacentral:rRNA from 1 species
UACAGAGGUCUCAAGCGUUGUUCGGAUUCAUUGGGCGUAAAGGGUGCGUAGGCGGCCUGUGCAAGUCAGUUGUGAAAUCUCCGAGCUUAACUCGGAACGGUCAACUGAUACUGCUCGGCUAGAGUGCGGAAGGGGCAACUGGAAUUCUUGGUGUAGCGGUGAAAUGCAUAGAUACAAUCAAGAACUCCGAUUGCGUAGGCAGCUAACUAGGCUGUAACUGACGCUGAGGCACGAAAGCGUGGGGAGCGAACAGG